GGAAUAUUGCGCAAUGGGGGCAACCCUGACGCAGCAACGCCGCGUGGACGAUGAAGGCCCUCGGGUCGUAAAGUCCUUUUCUGAGGGAAGAUAGUGACGGUACCGCAGGAAUACGUCCCGGCUAACUACGCUCCAGCAGCCGCGGUAAAACGUAGGGGGCGGGCGUUAUCCGGAUUUACUGGGCGUAAAGCGCACGUAGGCGGCGCCGUAAGUUGGACGUGAAAGCUCUCGGCUCAACUGAGAGAGGUCGUUCAAUACUGCGGUGCUUGAGGUUGACAGAGGAGAGUGGAAUUCCCGGUGUAGUGGUGGAAUGCGUAGAUAUCGGGAGGAACACCAGUGGCGAAGGCGGCUCUCUGGGUCAUACCUGACGUUGAGGUGCGAAAGCGUGGGGAGCG
rnacentral:rRNA from 1 species